rnacentral:rRNA from 1 species
UGCGAGUCAUUGUAGCAAUACAAGGCAGACGGCUCAGUAACGCGUAGUCAACCUACCCUAUGGACGGGAAUAACCUCGGGAAACUGAGUAUAAUGCCCGAUAGAACACUAUACCUGGAAUGGUUUGUGUUCCAAAUGAUUUAUCGCCGUAGGAUGGGACUGCGGCCUAUCAGUUUGUUGGUGAGGUAAUGGCCCACCAAGACUAUUACAGGUACGGGCUCUGGGAGGAGUGGCCCGGAGAUGGGUACUGAGACACGGACCCAGGCCCUAUGGGGCGCAGCAGGCGAGAAAACUUUGCAAUGUGCGAAAGCACGACAAGGUUAAUCCGAGUGGUUUCUGCUAAAGGAACCUUUUGACAGUCCUAGAAACACUGUUGAAUAAGGGGUGGGCAAGUUCUGGUGUCAGCCGCCGCGGUAAAACCAGCACCUCAAGUGGUCAGGAUGAUUAUUGGGCCUAAAGCAUCCGUAGCCGGCUCUGUAAGUUUUCGGUUAAAUCUGUACGCUCAACGUACAGGCUGCCGGGAAUACUGCAGAACUAGGGAGUGGGAGAGGUAGACGGUACUCGGUAGGAAGUGGUAAAAUGCUUUGAUCUAUCGAUGACCACCUGUGGCGAAGGCGGUCUACCAGAACACGUCCGACGGUGAGGGAUGAAAGCUGGGGGAGCAAACCGGAUUAGAUACCCGGGUAGUCCCAGCUGUAAACUAUGCAAACUCAGUGAUGCAUUGGCUUGUGGCCAAUGCAGUGCUGCAGGGAAGCCGUUAAGUUUGCCGCCUGGGAAGUACGUACGCAAGUAUGAAGCUUAAAGGAAUUGGCGGGGGA